GACAGAGGGUGCAAACGUUGUUCGGAAUUACUGGGCGUAAAGGGCGCGUAGGCGGCCACCGCAAGUCGACUGUGAAAUCUCCGGGCUUAACUCGGAAAGGUCAGCCGAUACUGCGGGGCUAGAGUGCAGAAGGGGCAACUGGAAUUCUCGGUGUAGCGGUGAAAUGCGUAGAUAUCGAGAGGAACACCUGCGGCGAAGGCGGGUUGCUGGGCUGACACUGACGCUGAUUGUGCGAAAGCUAGGGGAGCGAACGGG
rnacentral:rRNA from 1 species